rnacentral:rRNA from 1 species
UACGUAGGGGGCGAGCGUUGUCCGGAAUCAUUGGGCGUAAAGAGCUUGUAGGCGGUUUGUCGCGUCUGCUGUGAAAUUUCGGGGCUCAACCCCGAACUUGCAGUGGGUACGGGCAGACUAGAGUGUGGUAGGGGAGACUGGAAUUCCUGGUGUAGCGGUGAAAUGCGCAGAUAUCAGGAGGAACACCGAUGGCGAAGGCAGGUCUCUGGGCCAUAACUGACGCUGAGAAGCGAAAGCAUGGGGAGCGAACAGG